rnacentral:rRNA from 1 species
UGUGGCCAAGUUGUUAAGGGCACACGGUGGAUGCCUGGGCACCAGGAGCCGAUGAAGGACGUAGGAGGCUGCGAUAAGCCUCGGGGAGCUGUCAACCGAGCGUUGAUCCGAGGAUUUCCGAAUGGGGGAACCCCGCACCAGUCAUGUGGUGUGACCCGCGCCUGAACACAUAGGGCGUGUGGAGGGAACGUGGGGAAGUGAAACAUCUCAGUACCCACAGGAAGAGAAAACAACCGUGAUUCCGUGAGUAGUGGCGAGCGAAAGCGGAAGAGGCUAAACCGAUUGCAUGUGAUAGCCGGCAGGCGUUGUGUGGUCGGGGUCGUGGGACAGUUCAGUCACCUCUGCCGGGGUGGCAGGGAGUCAUAAAAGAUCGUGUUAGUGGAAGGCCUCUGGAAGGGGUCGCCGUAGAGGGUGAGAGCCCCGUACACGAAAACAUGGUCUCUCCCGAGCUUGUUUCCCAAGUAGCACCGAGCCCGUGAAAUUCGGUGUGAAUCUGGCGGGACCACCCGCUAAGCCUGAAUACUCCCUGGUGACCGAUAGCGGACAAGUACCGUGAGGGAAAGGUGAAAAGUACCCCGGGAGGGGAGUGAAAUAGUACCUGAAACCGUGUGCCUACAAGCCGUGAGAGCCUUAGGAUUUCGGUCCGGGGUGAUUGCGUGCCUUUUGAAGAAUGAGCCUGCGAGUUAGCGGUACGUGGCGAGGUUAACCCGUGUGGGGUAGCCGUAGCGAAAGCGAGUCCGAACAGGGCGACCUGAGUCGCGUGCCCUAGACCCGAAGCCGAGUGAUCUACCCAUGGCCAGGUUGAAGCGCGGGUAAGACCGCGUGGAGGACCGAACCCACCAGGGUUGAAAACCUGGGGGAUGAGCUGUGGGUAGGGGUGAAAGGCCAAUCAAACUCGGUGAUAGCUGGUUCUCCCCGAAAUGCAUUUAGGUGCAGCGUCACGUGUUUCUUGCCGGAGGUAGAGCACUGGAUGGCUGAUGGGCCCCACAAGGUUACUGACGUCAACCAAACUCCGAAUGCCGGUAAGUGAGAGCGUGGCAGUGAGACUGCGGGCGAUAAGGUUCGUAGUCGAGAGGGAAACAGCCCAGAUCAUCGGCUAAGGCCCCUAAGCGUGUGCUAAGUGGAAAAGGAUGUGGGAUCGCAGAGACAACCAGGAGGUUGGCUUAGAAGCAGCCACCCUUGAAAGAGUGCGUAAUAGCUCACUGGUCAAGUGGUUCCGCGCCGACAAUGUAGCGGGGCUCAAGCACACCGCCGAAGCCGUGGCAUUCACACAGUCGCCCGUCGGACUCCUUGAGGGUCCGGCCAGGUGUGUGGAUGGGUAGGGGAGCGUCGUGUGGCGGUUGAAGCGGCGGAGGAAUCCAGCCGUGGACGCCACACGAGUGAGAAUGCAGGCAUGAGUAGCGAGAGGGGAGUGAGAACCUCCCCCGCCGGAAGACCAAGGGUUCCUGGGCCAGGCCAAUCCGCCCAGGGUGAGUCGGGACCUAAGGCGAGGCCGACAGGCGUAGUCGAUGGACAACGGGUUGAUAUUCCCGUACCCGCGAAGGAACGCCCAUGCUGAACCCAGCGAUGCUAACCGUCUGACGCUCCUGGACCCACUUGUGGGCGAUGGAGUCGAACACGGGACCCGGACUGGUAGUAGGCAAGCGAUGGGGUGACGCAGGAAGGUAGUCCUACCGGUGAGUGGUAGUACCGGUGCAAGGGUGUGGCCCGUCCGAUAGGUAAAUCCGUCGGACAUUGUGGGUGAGGCCUGACGCAUAGCCGAUUGAGGCGAAUUGGAUGAUCCUAUGCUGCCGAGAAAAGCCUCUAGCGAGUUCCGAGCGGCCCGUACCCCAAACCAACUCAGGU